GACGAACGCUGGCGGCGUGCCUAAUACAUGCAAGUAGAACGCUGAAGGAGGAGCUUGCUUCUCUGGAUGAGUUGCGAACGGGUGAGUAACGCGUAGGUAACCUGCCUGGUAGCGGGGGAUAACUAUUGGAAACGAUAGCUAAUACCGCAUAAGAGUAGAUGUUGCAUGACAUUUGCUUAAAAGGUGCAAUUGCAUCACUACCAGAUGGACCUGCGUUGUAUUAGCUAGUUGGUGGGGUAACGGCUCACCAAGGCGACGAUACAUAGCCGACCUGAGAGGGUGAUCGGCCACACUGGGACUGAGACACGGCCCAGACUCCUACGGGAGGCAGCAGUAGGGAAUCUUCGGCAAUGGACGGAAGUCUGACCGAGCAACGCCGCGUGAGUGAAGAAGGUUGUCGGAUCGUAAAGCUCUGUUGUAAGAGAAGAACGAGUGUGAGAGUGGAAAGUUCACACUGUGACGGUAGCUGACCAGAAAGGGACGGCUAACUACGUG
rnacentral:rRNA from 1 species